rnacentral:rRNA from 1 species
AGUCGCCGCGGGAAUACGGAGGGUGCGAGCGUUAAUCGGAAUUACUAGGCGUAAAGCGUACGCAGGCGGUUUGUUAAGUCAGAUGUGAAAUCCCCGAGCUUAACUCGGGAACUGCAUUUGAAACUGGCAGGCUAGAGUCUCGUAGAGGGGGGUAGAAUUCCAGGUGUAGCGGUGAAAUGCGUAGAGAUCUGGAGGAAUACCGGUGGCGAAGGCGGCCCCCUGGACGAAGACUGACGCUCAGGUACGAAAGCGUGGGGAGCAAACAGGAUUAGAUACCCGAGUAGUCCCUGUCUCUUAUACA